rnacentral:piRNA from 1 species
UACCACAGAGGUGAUCUGCAUGUUUGAACAU